UACGAAGGGGGCUAGCGUUGUUCGGAAUAACUGGGCGUAAAGAGUACGUAGGCGGAUUGGAAAGUUAGGGGUGAAAUCCCGAGGCUCAACCUCGGAACUGCCCUUAAAACUAUCAGUCUAGAGGUCGAGAGAGGUGAGUGGAAUUCCGAGUGUAGAGGUGAAAUUCGUAGAUAUUCGGAGGAACACCAGUGGCGAAGGCGGCUCACUGGCUCGAUACUGACGCUGAGGUACGAAAGUGUGGGGAGCAAACAGG
rnacentral:rRNA from 1 species